rnacentral:snRNA from 1 species
UUCUACUGUAGUAUGUGUUUGAUU